AAUCAACGCUGGCGGCGUGCCUCAGACAUGCAAGUCGAACGCGAAAGUUCCCUUCGGGGGAUGAGUAGAGUGGCGCACGGGUGAGUAACACGUAGGUAAUCUACCUUUGGAUGGGGAAUAACAACCGGAAACGGUUGCUAAUACCGCAUAAUGCAGCGGCACCUAAUGGUGACAGUUGUUAAAGCGGGGGAUCGAAAGACCUCGCGUCUGAAGAGGAGCCUGCGGCGGAUUAGCUAGUGGUAAGGUAACGGCUUACCAAGGCGACGAUCCGUAGCCGGCCUGAGAGGGCGGUCGGCCACACUGACACUGACAUACGGGUCAGACUCCUACGGGAGGCAGCAGUCGGGAAUUUUGGGCAAUGGGCGAAAGCCUGACCCAGCAACGCCGCGUGAAGGAUGAAAUCCCUCGGGAUGUAAACUUCGCAAGAACGGGAAGAAUAAGUCUGUGUAAAUAUCACAGAUGAUGACGGUACCGUUUGUAAGCUCCGGCUAACUCCGUGCCAGCAGCCGCCGCGGU
rnacentral:rRNA from 1 species